rnacentral:rRNA from 1 species
GACGGACGCUGGCGGCGUGCUUAACACAUGCAAGUCGAGCGGAAAGGCCACUUCGGUGGUACUCGAGCGGCGAACGGGUGAGUAACACGUGAGUAAUCUGCCCCUGGCUUUGGGAUAGCCACCGGAAACGGUGAUUAAUACCGGAUACGACCACUUCUCGCAUGGGAUGGUGGUGGAAAGUUUUUUCGGCCAGGGAUGUGCUCGCGGCCUAUCAGCUUGAUGGUGAGGUAAUGGCUCACCAUGGCUUCGACGGGUAGCCGGCCUGAGAGGGUGGCCGGUCACACUGGGACUGAGACACGGCCCAGACUCCUACGGGAGGCAGCAGUGGGGAAUAUUGGACAAUGGGCGGAAGCCUGAUCCAGCAACGCCGCGUGAGGGAUGACGGCCUUCGGGUUGUAAACCUCUUUCAGCAGGGACGAAGCGCAAGUGACGGUACCUGCAGAAGAAGCACCGGCCAACUACGUGCCAGCCGCCGCUGUAA